AGUGAACGCUGGCGGCGUGCUUAACACAUGCAAGUCGAACGAGAACGGAAUAUAGCUUGCUAUAUUUGUCAGCUAAGUGGCGCACGGGUGAGUAAUGUAUAGAUAACCUGCCCUUAAGAAAGGAAUAACAGUUGGAAACGACUGCUAAUGCCCUAUAUGCCUUUAAUACAUAAGUAUGCAAGGGAAACGCUUUAGUUCUUAAGGAUGGGUCUGUAUGGUAUCAGCUUUUUGGUGAGGUAAUGGCUCACUAAGGCUAUGACGCCUAACUGGUUUGAGAGGAUGAUAAGUCACACUGGAACUGAGACACGGUCCAGACUCCUACGGGAGGCAGCAGUGUGGAAUAUUGCACAAUGGGCGAAAGUCUGAUGCAGCAACGCCGCGUGGAGGAUGACACAUUUCGGUGCGUAAACUCCUUUUAUAUAGGAAGAUAAUGACGGUACUAUAUGAAUAAGCACCGGCUAACUCCGUGCCAGCAGCCGCCGCUG
rnacentral:rRNA from 1 species